GUCGUAUUCGUCUAGUGGCUCAGGACACAAGGUUUUCAUCCUUGUAGACGCGGGUUCGAAUCCCGCAUACGACU
rnacentral:tRNA from 1 species